rnacentral:rRNA from 1 species
AUUGAACGCUGGCGGCAGGCCUAACACAUGCAAGUCGAACGAGUGGCGGACGGGUGAGUCAUGUAUGGGAAACUGCCUGAUGGAGGGGGAUAACUACUGGAAACGGUAGCUAAUACCGCAUACCAUCGGAUGUGCCCAGAUGGGCUUGGGUAGUAGGUGGGGUAAAGGCUCACCUAGGCGACGAUCCCUAGCUGGUCUGAGAGGAUGACCAGCCACACUGGAACGGAGAAACGUGCCAGCCUCCUACGGGAGGCAGCAGGGGGGAAUAUUGCACAAUGGACGCAAGCCUGAUGCAGCCAUGCGGCGUGUAUGAAGAAGGUCUUCGGGUUGUAAAGUACUUUCAGCAGGGAGGCGUUACCCGCAGAAGAAGCAACGGCUAACUCCGUGCCAGCAGCCGCGGUAAUAC